rnacentral:misc_RNA from 1 species
GAUGACGUCACGCCGUCCGGAGGCUUAACGUUGGCAACGGUGGCGCGGUAGACACGUUUGCCAAUCGCAGUUUCCAACAAAAUAUCGUCUCGGACAGCGUCGAAGAAUUCAUUGGGACGAAAUGAAAUAUCUGUCGAUAUUUUUAAAAUCGGCCGAAAAUAAUAAGCAUCGUUUACGAGAUAAAUGUGAAAAUUUGAGAUGGUCGACGGAAGAAACCUGCCAUAUUUGCAAAAAGAGAUUUAAGAUUAAAAGCCAGUUCCGCUUGGAAAUAACUCCGUAUCUGUGUGUAAAAUGCAGAACGACGUUUUGUGGAAAAUGCCAACGGCCGCGCAAUCAAUACUGUAUUUGUAAUUUAUGUCGUAAGCGGUUUACGAGUAAAAAAGAGUUGAAAGUGCAUUAUCUAGUGCAUAUAGGAGAAGAGUUUUUCGUCUGUUUUAUCUGCGACAAAAAGUAUUUGUCUUACGAGGAAUUUCGGAAUCAUCAGAAAACUCAUCUGCCUGUGCGGCCAUUUUAUUGUAACCUAUGCGAACUAGGAUUCCAAUGUCGAGACGAUGUAACUUUUCACAAAGGAAAUAUACAUUUUAAGGAACGUAAAUUGAAUUAGUUAACCGUUUUUAUUAUUUUGCAUUUUUAAAUUAAUUUCCAGAGAAAUUAAAAUUUCUAAUUUAAACGUUGCUACGUUCGAGCGUCUUUCUUUUGUAUUUUUAUUUCGCAGUUUCUCUCGAUUAGAGUUAUUUA